ACAAAACCCCUCCAGCUUUUUAUUGUUAUAAACUUUUAUUUUUACUUGCCCGUUCCUCAGUGAACCUGCGUUGGCUUUUUACUCACCCUGGCAAUCCACAUGAUAACAAAAGUGAAUAUAAGAGUACUUGAAAACCUCAUCGUCUGGCACUUCACAAACAUGCACACAUCCCUCAAGGUUUGAAAACUGUAUUUUGAUUAUUGAUUUGUUAAUGUUAAUAUAAACGAGUCACAAAAAUCUUGAUGCAAACUCUGUAAGUCAAAGAGAGUCUAUCCAUUGACUUAUUGGAUCAAGCAUUUGAAGUACAGAAACAAAAGAGAUUGAGACACCUGGCUGAGCUGAAGAGAUCCCAUUUACAAUAGCCAUCUAUGAGAGGCAGCAGAAGGCUGUGGUGGCUGGACAGAUCUAGCCAUGAAAUUAGGAUGAAUAAAAGAUUUUGCCACUGUGUCACCCUCCAGUUGAUCCUAACCUGUGCUUGAAAUGAACUUUUGAUGUGACACAUUCAUCUCAGCAGCACUCACAGCUUCAUCUUUCUGUUCGUCUCACCUACAGAUAACAACUCUCUUUGCUUCCCUUAAGAACCUGCUUCCUAGGCUUAAGUGAAGAGCAGCUUCCACUGAAGGUGUGUAUAGAAGUUGGGGGCUGUUUCACACCUAUGAACGUGACAAACAUUGCAGUGAGGACUAUACAUGUUCUGGUGUUCAAACCCAAAGUAGGAAACAACUACUCAGGGAAAGUGAAGGUUAAUCCCUGCGGUGCACUGCUGCAGGUCUUCGGGUACUCAACGUCUUGACAUCUGUCCUUGCACCACCGGCCCUGCAGAUAUAACACAGACAGGAGAGCUGCCCUCUGUAAUCUCUGAUGAGGAAACCAUUUAUUUUUACUGGAAGUCCCUGAAUUCUUGAUGUCCACCAAAGCUUUGGUUAAUGUAUAUGCUGAGUCUUCAUGGUAUGAGUAGAAAUUAGGGAGAAUAGAUACGAAAGCAUUUUAAAGCUGUAGAAACUGUUUAUGAGAAUAAAACUCUGAUCACGAAUCCCAGAUAAAAAAAAAAAAAAUUAAAUGCAAGAACUUUGAAACCAUAUCCUUGGCUGUCCAAAUACCAAUUCCAGGCUGAUCUGCAGGAAGGGCCCCUGUAAUUCAUUAACUCAUCAACUCAUCACAAUUUAAUGAAGAACUGUGUGUUCUGGCUACCUCCAUCACUCUGCCACCUGGGUCUGAACAAACUCACUGUCUUCCUGAAGAUGCACAAACGUGAACCCUGCUGAGCUCUGCUUUCAGGGCAGCAGGGACUUCCUUCCAGGCAUCUUAUUUUAAGAUGUGAAGAAUAUUUGGGGAUUAAAUGCAUACCAUAUUAAUGAUAUAUCUCUUUCUCUCUCUCUCUCAAUCUGUCAUGGUGAUAUCAUGCCUCUCCAUCCUCUGACCUUAGAAAGACACUCAUUUAUGUGACUGCCUAAUGCUCAACCAUCCUUCAGGAUGUUCAGAGAUGCAGAUUCACUCCCUCCACCAGACACCUAUUGAAUCUAUUCAGGCCAUGUCUAUUAAAAAACUGGACUCUGCAGCCAAGAGGACAGUGAGAGAUGGAUGGUGCUGGCGUGCAUCCACUUCAGAGGACAGAGGCAGAUCAGCCUGCCAUGGACAGAGACAGACUAAUGAAACCUGCAGGACUGGCAUGCAAUUACCUUGUUUGCCAAACUCAUUAUAGAGAAGUCGCAUAUUUCCAGUAUGCUGCCCCUGGCCUCAGAGACAAAGCUGCUAGCUGGAUUAUGAAUAGUUCUGGUCCAUAUUCUGGUAAGGCUGGAGCAGGUGUAGUUUUGAUGAAGUUGAUUUGCUUGGCCCAGCUGAGACCAGGGUCUGGUCCCUCACAUUGUCACUCCAUCCCCAGGAUCACUCAGGGUGGCCUCAGGACUACUGAGUUACACAAGAGCACAUUGACCCUUGAUGUGCUGCUCCAAAGCCUCUUAGAGCAACACACUGCAGUAGCAUCAUCGCCCCAGUGCACAUGCCUCGUAGUUCGAACCUUGCUGAUUCUCAAAAAACACAAUGUACAAGUGUGGGAGCCCGAGCCAAAUCUGGUCUUACAAUGUUAGCUGAAAACCAGCAAAAUCCACAGCAUGAAAAAACCCCUUUUGUCUCAACAAAGAAAUGCAGUGGUAUUUGGAUUACUUGGGGAAAUGCCUGUAUUUCAGAUAGCAGAUACUAUUUUGGCCUUGGCACGUUGGUCAAAGUCCGGUUACAAUUUCUCAGAGAGGUGCUGGGCCAUGGCUUAAGGCAGAAUCCAGGUAAAAAAACCCUUUGUAAGAACUGACAUAAAGAGCUGUAAUAAAGGAACUGUUGGUAGUGCCAAACAGUAAGUUUCCAAGCCCCAGGACCAUGGAUGGCUUCAUCUUCCUGAGUGCCAUCUACUGGCAUUUACCCAUUAACUCCUUACCCACAAGUGUGCAGGUCCUUGUCCCCUAGUGUCCCCUCAGCAGCUCCAGCUGCUCACAGCAGCCUCUGGCCAGGUUGCCUCCACGGUGGUGUGGGCUCGCCCUGACCCACCGCCCUUUGGUGGGUAGGAGGCAGGAUUUAAGUGAGUGUGGCAGCCUGGCUCUGGCGAGGGGAAUGCAGCUCUGAAAGUGAUGUGCAUGGACUUGUCUUAUUAGCAGCAGCCUUGGGAUUGCCAUUGCUGAGAUGGUCCCAGCCACUGCUCGCUCACAGUCUCCAGAGAGCAGCCUGGAGCCUGAGCAAGCAGCCUGGGGAGCUUUACUGGAGACAGCAAAAUGCACUGAAACAUGUAUUAUGGCCAUGAAGGCUUUUUUGUUGGACUUGCCCCCGUGAUGGCUGUUAUGGGAAAUGACACAUUGAUGUUGAAAGCCUUAAAUGUUCCUUGGGCAUAUUGACAAAAACUGCAUGCUUCUCCUUAGGCUGCUGAAGCAACAGGGAAGAUAACAUUUCCUUUCAGCUAAUAAAACCCGAUUUUAGUUGUU